CGGGUGAGUAAUGCAUAGGAAUCUGCCUGGUAGUGCGGGAUAGCCACUGGAAAUGGUGGGUAAUACCGCAUACUCCCUGCGGGGGAAAGAUUUAUCGCUACUAGAUGAGCCUAUGUUAGAUUAGCUAGUUGGUGGGGUAAUGGCCCACCAAGGCGGUGAUCUAUAGCUGGUUUGAGAGGACGAUCAGCCACACUGGAACUGAGAUACGGUCCAGACUCCUACGGGAGGCAGCAGUGGGGAAUAUUGGACAAUGGGCGCAAGCCUGAUCCAGCCAUGUCGCGUGAGUGAAGAAGGCCUUAGGGUUGUAAAACUCUUUCAGUGGGGAAGAUAAUGACGGUACCCACAGAAGAAGUCCCGGCAAACUCCGUGCCAGCAGCCGCGGUAAUACGGAGGGGGCGAGCGUUGUUCGGAAUCAUUGGGCGUAAAGGGCAUGUAGGCGGUUCGGUAAGUUAAAAGUGAAAUGCCAGGGCUCAACCU
rnacentral:rRNA from 1 species